rnacentral:rRNA from 1 species
UACGGAGGGGGCUAGCGUUGUUCGGAUUUACUGGGCGUAAAGCGCGCGCAGGCGGCUUUGCAAGUUAGAGGUGAAAGCCCGGAGCUCAACUCCGGAACUGCCUUUAAAACUGCAUCGCUUGAAUCCAGGAGAGGUGAGUGGAAUUCCGAGUGUAGAGGUGAAAUUCGUAGAUAUUCGGAAGAACACCAGUGGCGAAGGCGGCUCACUGGACUGGUAUUGACGCUGAGGUGCGAAAGCGUGGGGAGCAAACAGG